rnacentral:rRNA from 1 species
GACGAACGCUGGCGGCGUGCCUAAUACAUGCAAGUCGAGCGGACAGAAGGGAGCUUGCUCCCGGAAGUUAGCGGCGGACGGGUGAGUAACACGUGGGCAACCUACCCUGUAGAUCGGGAUAACAUCGAGAAAUCGGUGCUAAUACCGGAUAAUCUUUUGAAGUGCAUGCUUCGAAUGUAAAAGAUGGCUCCGGCUAUCACUACGGGAUGGGCCCGCGGCGCAUUAGCUAGUUGGUAAGGUAAUGGCUUACCAAGGCAACGAUGCGUAGCCGACCUGAGAGGGUGAUCGGCCACACUGGGACUGAGACACGGCUCAGACUCCUACGGGAGGCAGCAGUAGGGAAUCUUCCGCAAUGGACGAAAGUCUGACGGAGCAACGCCGCGUGAGUGAUGAAGGUUUUCGGAUCGUAAAGCUCUGUUGUUAGGGAAGAACAAGUGCCGUUUGAAUAAGGCGGCACCUUGGCGGUACCUACCAGAAAGCCACGGCUAACUACGUGCCAGCCGCCGCAGUAAGAC